rnacentral:rRNA from 1 species
UACGGGGGGGGCAAGCGUUGUUCGGAAUUACUGGGCGUAAAGGGCUCGUAGGCGGCCAACUAAGUCAGACGUGAAAUCCCUCGGCUUAACCGGGGAACUGCGUCUGAUACUGGAUGGCUUGAGAUUGGGAGAGGGAUGCGGAAUUCCAGGUGUAGCGGUGAAAUGCGUAGAUAUCUGGAGGAACACCGGUGGCGAAGGCGGCAUCCUGGACCAACACUGACGCUGAGGAGCGAAAGCAUGGGGAGCGAACAGG